rnacentral:rRNA from 1 species
GCAAGUCGAACGAACUCUUCGGAGUUAGUGGCGGACGGGUGAGUAACACGUGGGAACGUUCCUUUAGGUUCGGAAUAACUCAGGGAAACUUGUGCUAAUACCGAAUGUGCCCUUCGGGGGAAAGAUUUAUCGCCUUUAGAGCGGCCCGCGUCUGAUUAGCUAGUGGGGGAGGUAAAGGAUGACCAAGGCGACGAUCAGUAGCUGGUCUGAGAGGAUGAGC